CGUUCAGUGUGACAACAUGACUCCUAUCAGACACAGCUUGUUUCUUUUUGCUCUCUGGAUUAAAGGUCUAACAGAUGGCAGUGUCGUCACUCAGACUCCUCUGCUGUGGGUCAACCAGAGUCAGUCCACCAUCAUGAACUGCAGUCACACAGAUAUUUCUUACUACCAGAUGUACUGGUACCAGCAGCUGCCGGGUCAGAACAUGAAGCUGAUAGUUUUUACGACAACAUCUCCUCCAUUCCAGUAUGAAGACGGCUUCAGCAAGGAGAAGUUUCCAGCGGACAGGAAGGACGCUCUGAGCGGAUCUCUGACGUUGAUCCUCUAACAUGAGUUCAGCUCGUCAGUCGCUGCAGAGACAGAGAGGAAGAUAGAGACAUGAUCAGCAUCAUCACUCUGC